GUAACGGAGGCGCCCAAAGGUUCCCUCAGAAUGGAUGGAAAUCAUUCGCAGAGUGUAAAGGCACAAGGGAGCUUGACUGCGAGACUGACAAGUCGAGCAGGGACGAAAGUCGGGCUUAGUGAUCCGGGGGUUCCGCAUGGAAGGGCCAUCGCUCAACGGAUAAAAGCUACCCCGGGGAUAACAGGCUUAUCUCCCCCAAGAGUCCACAUCGACGGGGAGGUUUGGCACCUCGAUGUCGGCCCG
rnacentral:rRNA from 1 species